CAGUAGCCGCGGUAAUACGUAGGUGGCAAGCGUUGUCCGGAAUUAUUGGGCGUAAAGGGCUCGCAGGCGGUUUCUUAAGUCUGAUGUGAAAGCCCCCGGCUCAACCGGGGAGGGUCAUUGGAAACUGGGAAACUUGAGUGCAGAAGAGGAGAGUGGAAUUCCACGUGUAGCGGUGAAAUGCGUAGAGAUGUGGAGGAACACCAGUGGCAAAGGCGACUCUCUGGUCUGUAACUGACGCUGAGGAGCGAAAGCGUGGGGAGCGAACAGGAUUAGAUACCCCCGUAGUCCCUGUCUCUUAUAC
rnacentral:rRNA from 1 species